AUCCCGUAAUUAAGGUUUGAAUUCGUCAAAACCAUGUCCUAACGCCUUUUGUAUACAUAUAGCUAAUAUUCGAACAAGAUGUAAAACUAAAUUUUACAUAUGUUCAUAUUUAAAAAAAAUUCGUAGUCGAUAACGCUUCUCUGUUAUCAACUAAUUUCCUCAUCUUGUCCAGAUUUACUACAUAAUUCGUUACUAUUUUUUUACUUUCCGAGGUGACGGGCGUCCCUCACCUUGGACGCCGACCAGCUCGGUAGCCCCGUGGGGGGAGUGGAAGGACUGCAACUGCCCGGAAGGAAGAGACUACUACUUGGAGGGAUUCCAACUUUGCACCUUGCCCCCACAGGGGAGUGGCGACGACAUUUCCGCCUUCGCCUUUUACAUGGUCUGUCAUACCUUUGGGGUGCACUACUGCCUCCACAAGGCUAAUCUUGGGGACCAGUAUUGCAGUGAUUUGAUCAUGUGUCCCCAAGAAUACCCGAGGAUUUGUGGCAUUCGGACGCAAGUUGAGGAUCCGCCGUGGUAUGUUCAUACGGAUGAUACAGCGCUGAAUAAUGUGGAUUUCUUUUGCUGUUAAAGAUAUUCAAAUAAAUAUAAAAAAUUGUAAAGUUUUCGUGCAUUUUUUACUUUUUCUGGUUUACUUUCAUAUCAUUGCUUACCAAGGGGAACAGAAAUGUAAAAAUAUCAAAUUCUAGAAAAUAAAAAAUUAAAAAACUGCAAAUAUGCACGUAAACAACCACCCAAAGCAAAAUAAAUAAAAAUGACCUUUUA